rfam:Pneumocystis jirovecii, SE8, WGS project CAKM01000000 data, contig: 123
GUCUCCGUGGCGCAACCGGUUAGCGCGUUCGGCUGUUAAGAUUCUAUAACCGAGAGGCUGACAGUUCGAGCCUGUCCGGGGACG